UGACAACCGAUGCUGGUGUGUUUAUGUCCCCUGACCGAUAGAAUAACUUAAAUACUGAGAUUGAGAGGCAGGGGUGAAUUAUGCCUGCCUAAUCUACCAAAAAAUAAAAUAUUUUAUAUUCUAUGCACAGUAAUCAGAGUAACCUUCAUAAUUUUAUUGAAUUAGGUGCAUAUUUUGCCAUAAAAGGAAAAUGAUGCUAUCGAUCUAUUUUAUUCAAGGUAGGAACUACCUACCUUGCCUAUCUAGGCAGCACA